rfam:Oceanobacter sp. RED65 scf_1100007010818 genomic scaffold, whole genome shotgun sequence.
ACAGGCUAUGCUAACGAGUGUCUUGGUACUAUUGUCUAAGACCUCAGGGAACCUAGUGAGAUUCUAGGGCUGUACCCGCAACUGUGAGUAUGUUUUAGACGUACCAGCCAGAUACCUGAAGUUAGCCCAAGCAUGGA